rnacentral:rRNA from 1 species
AAAUUGAAGAGUUUGAUCAUGGCUCAGAUUGAACGCUGGCGGCAGGCCUAACACAUGCAAGUCGAACGGUAACAGGAAGCAGCUUGCUGAUUUGCUGACGAGUGGCGGACGGGUGAGUAAUGUCUGGGAAACUGCCUGAUGGAGGGGGAUAACUACUGGAAACGGUAGCUAAUACCGCAUAACGUCGCAAGACCAAAGAGGGGGACCUUCGGGCCUCUUGCCAUCGGAUGUGCCCAGAUGGGAUUAGCUAGUAGGUGGGGUAAAGGCUCACCUAGGCGACGAUCCCUAGCUGGUCUGAGAGGAUGACCAGCCACACUGGAACUGAGACACGGUCCAGACUCCUACGGGAGGCAGCAGUGGGGAAUAUUGCACAAUGGGCGCAAGCCUGAUGCAGCCAUGCCGCGUGUAUGAAGAAGGCCUUCGGGUUGUAAAGUACUUUCAGCGGGGAGGAAGGGAGUAAAGUUAAUACCUUU